rnacentral:lncRNA from 1 species
GUGAUACCGUGGUGUAAAUUGGGUGUUAAUUAUUAAUGGACGGUUUAUUUCGGGAUUUAUUCGCCAGGGGAGUUGGUGCUCUUUGGAUUUACGUUUGGAUCCCUUAUAUGACCAGUUUUCCCAGCGUCAUAACACUGGCACAUAAAAUUGGCAGAGAAGUAUUUGAUGAUCUAAUGUUUGCAGAUAUCUAUGAACUGUUAAUUGACAAAGCCAUAAGUGAAGAUGAAAUAAGAGGUUGUCCUUACUCCUGAUCCCAAAGAACAUAGUGAUAAUGACAAAGAAUAUACUGAUCUAAAUGCG